ACAGUGCAUUGCGCUCGCUGCCCCGCCCACCUGUUUCCGUUUAAAAGGGGGAAGGACCCAUGCGAGCAAACAAACUUUAUUCACAAAGUUAUUCACGAACCGUCGUUGACUAGUUUUGACUCGUUUUUCCAAAAGCAAUCAUGCCCAGUGGUUGUUUGGUACCCGGUUGCACCGAAAAGUCGAGGUUGGGACAGAGUGUAAGUUUUCACGGUUUGCCAGUGAAAGACGCUCAGCGUUGCAAACUAUGGCUGCGGGCGAUAAACAACCCCAGAGUUGGAGAAGACACCGGGAAGGAAAUUAUAAAAGGAAAAACGAUAUGCAGUCUCCAUUUCAAACUGGAGGAUUUUGAUGGAAGACUUUUCGGCAAGAUUAGGUCCGCACUCAAACCAACUGCUGUUCCGUGCGUCUUCGCUGUGGGCCCGUGCCCAGAUGACGAACAGGCCGGGGCUUCUAAUGCACCUCCCGCAGCGAAACGCAGUCGCCUACAGAACGCUGAUAGUGGUCAUGGCGCAUUGACUCUCUCUGCAUCCUCCAACCCGCUGAAGACCUUCCCUUUGACAUCCACACCAGUGAAAACCUUUCCCUCGGACCAAGGACUAUCGGCCCGCUGGAGAUCUUUCACAGUGCAAUGCUCAAGUACCUCCCAAAAAGGCAGGGAUUCUCUUUCCAGGGAAUGAGAGAAAGGGUUCAUCUUGCAUGUUUUGAGCACAAUGAAAACAUUGUCAAAAGAAAGCAGGCCACAACCAAGACAGGACAACCACGCUUCAACCAAGUGUUUUGCAGGAGAUCCAAGCAGUGGGUCGUGAAGCAGAUUUUUAUUCCACACACCACCCAGUUCAUUGACACACUUGUCACAAGUGUCAUAACCAGAAGACGAAACCCAACGAUUCUAUAUAAGGUUUCAACAUCCUCACUUGCCCUGCCCCAGCCUGCGCUGCCACCUAACAUUGCACCAGUGCCAAAACCACCAAAGGAGGCGGCAGUGGCUGAAUUAAAAAGGCGCUUCUGAGAGGGACAUCUGACCUAUUUUAUCUAUUUAAACGUAUCUUUAAUAAAACAUUUGUUU